GAUGAACGCUGACAGAAUGCUUAACACAUGCAAGUCAACUUGGACUUCGGUUUGGGUGGCGGACGGGUGAGUAACGCGUAAAGAACUUGCCUCACAGAUAGGGACAACAUUUGGAAACGAAUGCUAAUACCUGAUAUUAUGAUUUUAGGGCAUCCUAGAAUUAUGAAAGCUAUAUGCGCUGUGAGAGAGCUUUGCGUCCCAUUAGCUAGUUGGAGAGGUAACGGCUCACCAAGGCGAUGAUGGGUAGCCGGCCUGAGAGGGUGAUCGGCCACAAGGGGACUGAGACACGGCCCUUACUCCUACGGGAGGCAGCAGUGGGGAAUAUUGGACAAUGGACCAAGAGUCUGAUCCAGCAAUUCUGUGUGCACGAUGAAGUUUUUCGGAAUGUAAAGUGCUUUCAGUUGGGAAGAAAAAAAUGACGGUACCAACAGAAGAAGUGACGGCUAAAUACGUGCCAGCAGCCGCGGUAAUACGUAUGUCACAAGCGUUAUCCGGAUUUAUUGGGCGUAAAGCGCGUCUAGGUGGUUAUAUAAGUCUGAUGUGAAAAUGCAGGGCUCAACUCUGUAUUGCGUUGGAAACUGUGUAACUAGAGUACUGGAGAGGUAAGCGGAACUACAAGUGUAGAGGUGAAAUUCGUAGAUAUUUUGUAGGAAUGCCGAUGGGGAAGCCAGCUUACUGGACAGAUACUGACGCUGAAGCGCGAAAGCGUGGGGUAGCAAACAGG
rnacentral:rRNA from 1 species